GUAUGUGUUUAAAAAUUAUCACAAUAUACUGGACACCUAAGAACAUUCUAAAAGGAGAAGUUCAUACAAACCGACACAAUCAAACUAUCAAUCAACGGAACAAGUGAAAAACAAUACAAUAAUCUUGACUUGGUACAGGUAUUAUUGAAAGAAAAGUGUGGGCUAUACCUGGUUUUACAGCUAGUUAAAGUCGUGAUACAUCAACCUUUUAAAAUAUUUCAACUAGACAUUCUAUUAAUAUAAAGGCUGUUUUUUUAACAGAAUAAACAUCGAAAUCAUA
rnacentral:lncRNA from 1 species